AGAAAAUUUGAUUUUCAUCGAAGAUGGCAUCCCUAAACUCAACUAUUAAAUGCGCCGAGUGUGCAUCAUUAGGUUCUAUAACAUAGUACCUAUAUACCUUUGAAUUCUUAGCAUAUCAAACAAAGAUGCAAUCAAUGCCCCUUUCUCUUUGAAUUCUAGCAUAUCCAAUAAAGAUGCAAUCAAUACCUUUUCUCAUAAUGUCUUUCGUUUAGGAUUUUGGAGGCGACAAUGAUAGCUCGGGGUUUCUUUGAUUAAGGUAAACCCACUCUUAACCUUCAGUUCAUCUCGUCUUCCUCCCUUUAUCCUAGAUUCGGUUGGAUUUGAUUUUGUAACAAGAGCGAUGAUUCUCUCUUAGCAGUCGAAAAUCCGAGGGCGAUGAAGGCCAGAAUCCGUCGCUGGCCAUGGAUUUUCCUCCGAUCUACUCUCUCAGCAUUUGACUGAAGAAUACGGAUGGUGAGUCGCUCAACUCUCCCUAAUCUUAAUCAUCUCUCGCUCGAAUGCUUAGAGGUUGGAUGAUGAUAUUAGUAAUGAUGCUUACUAGCCUCUGUACAGCAGCCUCCACUGCCCUUAUGUGGGUCUCCCGAUUCACAGUCGUCACCCUCUUUCUCCUGGAACCCUCAUCUGCGAAUUUCAUAGUCGCCGUUCCAUCCCAAAUUCAAUACUAAAUCGAAGAUCCCAGCUCUUGAUUGCCUUCGCCUCUCGACUCCAUCACAGUUGCAUCGGGACGCGAUCAUGCAUAGAUCGAUUCCCUCAUUUUAAGGUAAGCUCGGUUUCCCCCUCUGCUUGCAAUGAUUCUAAUUUGAACUAUGAUCUUUCUAACGAUCCUCGCCUCUUCUUUCCCAGUUCAGUUCGAUGUGGAAAUUCCGCCGGUAUCUUGGAGGGUCAAAGGCUUUACCAGCGACGCCAUGUCAGGUCUGAACUUGUACUCUCGUCAGUUUUUUUUAUUUAGAUUAAUCUUCUCUUUGAAGGAUUUUACGGUUAUUUCCCCAGGUGUGUAAAGAACACAGCGGGUUUGCUGUUCUAGUUGAUCAAGCGAUGUGUGCGGUUCUCAGUGAUCCUGAAAAAGAACAAGGUAAUGUAUUCUACGCUCUUCCUCUCCUCUCGAUUCCUAUCCCGAUGUAUCUAUGUAUCUCUGUUAUGAAUCCCUUCCUACCUUCUAAUUUUUCAAUAGGCUAUUCGAAGUGAAGAAGGCUGGUUAUGGACCAGAGGGAGCACGAGGAAUGGAGGACAACAAAACUUGAUGUCUGAGGGCUCCAUGAAAGUGAGGAAGGGGGGUCGAGAUUUAACUAGGGGGCGAAACUAGAAGGGCGGCCAGACAAGGUCAACAACACAGAGGUAAUACUCAAAAUUAUAAGCUCGGAUAGACAUGUGAUCGAGUAUUGCUUGUCCUUCUCAGCAACAAAGACUCGUGUGUAUUUUAUCGAGAUAAAAUUGGUCUACUUAGUCUUGAUUGGAAUGUCGAUUUGGCUGUUCAGGACAGGAGCAACUAAAGUGUGUUUGCAUCCAUGUUUUUUUCAUGGAAUAAAUAUACUAUCCUAUCUCAUUAAAGAAUCUAUGAUUACCAUGAUUCAUGUAUGCAGGCUAGGACUCGUAAAACCAAUGUUAUUCAAUUGGGCAUUCAUGAGUUGGCAUUAACCCAUCAUAUGUAUUUGCCAAACAAUCUGAAUUGCAUGUUUUGAUAUGACCAUCGUGGUGAAGAGCGAAGCUGGACCAAGAGAAGAUGAAGGACCAGGAUCGAGAACCUAGAAUCAUCAUGAAAGACCAACACAAAAAGAAGAAACAUAGAAAAUAGUACACAAUAAUAGUCAAAGGGAGUCCACAAUUUCCAAACAAGCAUCCAAAAUAACAAACAUCCACAAACUGUCAUAAAACACAACACAACACAAGUCUAGUCACACAAAAGAAACACAAACAAACCAUCAAGUCUAAAAAAAAGAGAGAGAGACAAAGGAACAUCACUCGAACAAUGGUGGAGGUGGUGGUGGCUGCUAGGAUGGGAAAUGGGGAUAAUACCCAUAGUAGCUUACCUCCGCGCUCAGAUGGUGGUAAUACCAUUGAUGUCCAUCUCUCGAAUCUUGGAAGUGGUCUUGUGGUGGGGGAGAGUAGUCGGGAUAGUGUUGAGGAAGUAAGAGUACACGUUCUGAUAUUUGGCCAUGUGGCCAGUCUGCCAACCCUACUUCUGUUGGAUCCAGUGCAUCUCCAUCUAUACUAUCUGAAUCUACUCCCCAACCCUCUAGAAAUUGCUACUCGUCUCACCUCUAAAGGCAUCAAAGUCGCUUCAUAACCCACUCAUAUCCUGUCUGAUGUACCCCAACUGCUCAUCAUGUGACUUCCUGAACUACUUAUCUCUCUGUGCCUCAUACUGAGCUCUCUCAUCAGAACACUAUUGAUGGAUAGCAAGAUGCUCCAUGACAGCCUGCAGAUCGGACAAAUACCCGAGCUGAAGUUGCGGUGUCGAUCUCCUUAACAAGCAAGUCCUGAACUCCAUUCCUUAGUAAUUAAUCCGGGUAGAAGUCAUAAGGUGGAGUCUCGAAGAUGCCCAACACUCCAUAAUUACGGACUGACAAGCUAACAUACCCUCCUUUGUAUAGUACGACAUGCAUUGAGUAGCUCUUCAAUUGCUUGAAGAGAGUGAGAACCAAGUCUCCCAAAUGCAUAUCGAUCUUAUCCUAGCAAUAGAAGAUGUACAUGUCUCGGUUAGUGAGCGCACUUGGAGAGCUUGAAGACGAACGGUGCGAGAUACCGUGGCGAGCAAACAGAUGGAUGAGACGAAGCAUUGGCUUGUGGGUUCGCAGCGCCUUAAAGACCCCAACUACAAACUGAGGCGCGUCUUUGAUAAUGCUACACCAAAAACCCUGCACAUCAUAGAGGGGGAGUCCGGAAACCAUGGCAAGACAAGCCAGCUUACCAUUGUUCAGCUCCUCAUUUGAAUGGAACCUGAGCAUUACCCCAAACUCAUGUGGGAACACUGUGUACAGCCUCCCUCCCAAGCGGAAGGAGACCACCCUCUGAGAGGUGGAAGUGUAUCUCCCGAUGUCAAGUGUGUAGAAGAACUCACGAACCGCGCGAGGAUAUGAAUACUCCUUCACCAUCAUCGCCCUCCAAAUAUUCUUGGUCCUCUUGUAAUAGGAAUGAAAGGGGAACAAGCCUGCUAGUUAACUCCUCAAAAACUAAGUGCCCCUGUUUGGAAACAGAAAGGUGUUGGAGAGUCGCAUAGAGCUUCCAAGACAUAAAGCAUCAAUCGCGAGGUUUUACGGAUCGACGGGCUCAGUAGGAGCUUCAAACAUGUGGUACUGCUGAGGUGGAACUGCAGGUGAGGAAGUACCUUGAGUCGUUUGCCCUGAGGAAGAAGAAUUCUCAUUUCCACUAUGCCUCUUGUUACACUUGGUAGACUUACCUUUAGGAGACAUCCUGAAAAAUAGUCAGCAAAUGUAGACUGCAAAUUGGGAAACAGGAUUCGGGAUUUCCCGUUUCCGUUCCCGUAUUAUUGAAAAAAAACUCGGGAAUUCCCAUUCCCAUUACCAAACUCAAAAUUCGGGUUUGGUUGGGGAAUAAAAUUUCAUGUUCGGUUUUUUGGUUCGAUUCUGGGAUUCCCAAAAUCCCAAAGUUUCUUAUUAUUUUCUAUUAUCGACAAAAGAAAAAACAUCGUAUAAGAAAUGAUUGAUUCAUACGUUAGGGCAUAGCUCAUUUUCGCUUCAAGACUGAAAUUACGGUUCGUGAAACCGAGAGGCCGAGAGUCCCCAUGUCCCUCAAUGGUGAUUCCCGAUGAUUCCCUCGACGGUUCAACCCCUCCUCUCUAGGGUGGCGAUUCCCAGUCUAGACGUCGGAUUCUUCUUCUUUUGCUACGAUGAUUCCCAACGAUUCCCUCAUUGUUCUGGAAUCUGAUUUAAGGUGAGAACACAUCUCCAACCCACUAUGGGUUUUAUUGUGAGGUUUUGAUUGUUUCUUAUUUCUUUGCGUAACAGUGGUCAUCGUCGAUUUGUACAGGUGCGGCUGUUGAUUCUGCGAACACACCUCUACUACUUUCGUCGGUGAACAACAUUCAAUUGAGGUGUGAAUAAUGAUUGAUUUAUGCUCCACUUUGGUUUUUGAUUAACUCUACAAUAGCUUUCUAUCUGCUAUCUCAAUUGUAAAAUCCUGCCAAAAGACAUUACAUUACAAGGAUGGCUUGUAAAAUCUAAGAAUAUAUGCUAAUGGCUUCAGUUAAAAUCAGGGUGAGUAUUGAGCUUGCUUCACUACUGUCUAUUGAAUACUCAGAACUGAAUUUUGGUCUUUCUUCAUCCCACUUAACUAUCUCCCUCGCAUAUUUAAGAGAUGAGUUGAUAGUGUCAGAUGCUAUAGAUUAUAUUGAUCCUGGGCCUAGUCGAAUAUGAUAAAGAUGAAGAGGGUGAAAAUGAAUAUGUUGAUUCUGUAAGUAUUCUUAAAUUUAUUUAUAGUUAGUAGAAUGGAAUAGUGCUCGAUAUUGUGACUGUGACUGAAUUCUGGCUGUUUGUUUUUCAAUUCUAUUUCUUGGUAUUGCAAUGGUUUUGCAUCACUCAUUUAAGAUAUAUGAGACUGUUGCAGUUUAUAGUUUCAAAACACAUGCUACUCACUGUGUUUCAGUUAACAAUGGAACUCGGUAAGCUCAAAUUCGGUCUCAGUUUUAAAUUUUUAGCAUACUCAUAUUUCUUUUGGCCAUUUAAUUUAAAAAAUUCUCUCGAUGGUGUUUGAUGGAGCUCAUUUCUAGUAUUUUUGUUACAGAGUCUGGAUGGUAUUUGAUGGAGCUUAUUUCUAGAUUUUUUGUUGUAGAGUCUGGAUGGUGUGUAAUGGAGCUCAUGAGCUGUAGUAGUUUUAAUGGAGUGUGGGGUUUGUAGUUUCAAAUGUUGGGUAUUCAAAAUGUUGCGGUUUGAUUCAAUAAGUUAUUUUGUUUGUAUGAAUUGUCAUGGGCUGUAACCAUGUUGCGCUUUACAAUGAUUUAGGACUUGUCGCAAUGAAAUAAAAAUUUCGGGAAAAAAACUUAAUUUGGGACUCCAAAUCUUGAAUUUAAUUUCUUGAACAAAAUUUCGUAAAUUUGGGAUUCGGGAAUUUGGAAUUUCAAGACUUCAUAAAUUCAGGAACGGGGUCCCAUUCCCUUCCCGAUUUACAAGCCUAAGCAAAUGU
rnacentral:lncRNA from 1 species